GUAGAAUCGAAGUUAAUUCUGAAGGCAUAUGCCUUAUUUUCAUAACAUCUAAGUUAAUUGUGAAGGCAUAUGCGUUUAAUGCCAUAGAAUCUGAGUUAAUUCUGAAGGCAUAUGCCUGAAUUAUAUAGUAUCUAAGUUAAUUCUGAAGUUAUAUGCCUUAAUUCCAUGGAUUUAAACAUUAUUCUGAAGGCAUAUGCUUUAAUUAUGCAGGGUCUCAGUUAAUUCUGAUGGCAUUACCCUUAAUUCCAUGGGAUCUCAGUUAAUUCUCAAGGCAUAUGCCUUAAUUACGUAAGUUGUAAGUUAAUUCUGAAGGCAUUUCCCUAAAUUUAAUAGGAUCUCAGUUAAUUCUGAAGGCAUAGGCCUUAAUUAUGUAGAAACCAAGUUAAUUCUGAAGGCAUAAGCCUUAAUUCCAUAGCAUCUAAGUUAAUUGUGAAGGCAUAUGCCUUAAUUAGGUAGGGUCUGAGUUAAUUCUGAUGGCAUAUGCCUUAAUUCCAUAGCAUCUAAGUUAAAUGUGAAGGCAUAUGGCUUAAUCCAUAGGAUGUUAUUUAAAUCUGAAGGCGUUUAAUUCCAUAGGAUCGGAGUUAAUUCUGAUGGCGUAUGCCUUAAUUAUAUAGGUUCUAUGGUUAUUCUGAAGGUAUAAACCACUAAUUGCAUAGGAUCUAAGUUAAUUCUGAAGGUAUAGGCCUUUAAUUCCAUAGGCUCUGAUUUAAUUCUGAAGUUAUAUGACUUUAAUUCCAUAUUAUCUAAGUUAAUUCUGAAUCUAUAUGGCUUUAAUUACAUAGGAUCUCAGUUAAUUCUGAAGGCUUCUGCCUUAGUUCCAUAGCAUCUAAGUUAAUUGUGAAGGCAUAUGCCUUAAUUAUGUAGAAUCCAAGUUAAUUCUGAAGGCAUAUGCCUUAAUUAUAUAGGACUUAAUUUAAUUCUGAAGGCAUAUUCCUUAAUUCCAUUGGAUCUAACUUAAUUCUGAAGGCAUAUGCUUUAAUUAUGCAGGGUCUAAGUUAAUUCUGAUGGCAUAUCCCUUAAUUCCAUGGGAUCUAAGUUAAUUCUCAAGGCAUAUGCCUUAAUUACGUAAAAUCGAAGUUAAUUCUGAAGGCAUAUGCCUUAUUUUCAUAACAUCUAAGUUAAUUGUGAAGGCAUAUGCGUUUAAUGCCAUAGAAUCUGAGUUAAUUCUGAAGGCAUAUGCCUGAAUUAUAUAGUAUCUAAGUUAAUUCUGAAGUUAUAUGCCUUAAUUCCAUGGAUUUAAACAUUAUUCUGAAGGCAUAUGCCUUAAUUAUGUUGGGUCUAAGUUAAUUCUGAUGGCAUAUGCCUUAAUUCCAUAGCAUCUCAGUUAAUUCUGAAGGUGUAUGCCUUAAUUAUGUAGAAUCGAAGUUAAUUCUGAAGGCAUAUGCCUUAUUUUCAUAACAUCUAAGUUAAUUGUGAAGGCAUAUGCGUUUAAUGCCAUAGAAUCUGAGUUAAUUCUGAAGGCAUAUGCCUGAAUUAUAUAGUAUCUAAGUUAAUUCUGAAGUUAUAUGCCUUAAUUCCAUGGAUUUAAACAUUAUUCUGAAGGCAUAUGCCUUAAUUAUGUAGGGUCUCAGUUAAUUCUGAUGGCAUUACCCUUAAUUCCAUGGGAUCUCAGUUAAUUCUCAAGGCAUAUGCCUUAAUUACGUAAGUUGUAAGUUAAUUCUGAAGGCAUUUCCCUAAAUUUAAUAGGAUCUCAGUUAAUUCUGAAGGCAUAGGCCUUAAUUAUGUAGAAACCAAGUUAAUUCUGAAGGCAUAAGCCUUAAUUCCAUAGCAUCUAAGUUAAUUGUGAAGGCAUAUGCCUUAAUUAGGUAGGGUCUGAGUUAAAUGUGAAGGCAUAUGGCUUAAUCCAUAGGAUGUUAUUUAAAUCUGAAGGCGUUUAAUUCCAUAGGAUCGGAGUUAAUUCUGAUGGCGUAUGCCUUAAUUAUAUAGGUUCUAUGGUUAUUCUGAAGGUAUAAACCACUAAUUGCAUAGGAUCUAAGUUAAUUCUGAAGGUAUAGGCCUUUAAUUCCAUAGGCUCUGAUUUAAUUCUGAAGUUAUAUGACUUUAAUUCCAUAUUAUCUAAGUUAAUUCUGAAUCUAUAUGGCUUUAAUUACAUAGGAUCUCAGUUAAUUCUGAAGGCUUCUGCCUUAGUUCCAUAGCAUCUAAGUUAAUUGUGAAGGCAUAUGCCUUAAUUAUGUAGAAUCCAAGUUAAUUCUGAAGGCAUAUGCCUUAAUUAUAUAGGACUUAAUUUAAUUCUGAAGGCAUAUUCCUUAAUUCCAUUGGAUCUAACUUAAUUCUGAAGGCAUAUGCUUUAAUUAUGCAGGGUCUAAGUUAAUUCUGAUGGCAUAUCCCUUAAUUCCAUGGGAUCUAAGUUAAUUCUCAAGGCAUAUGCCUUAAUUACGUAAGUUCUAUGUUAAUUCUGAAGAAUGUGCCUUAAUUCCAUAGCAUCUAAGUUAAUUGUCAAAGGUUGGGUCUAAGUUAAUUCUGAUGGCAUAUGCCUUAAUUCCAUAGCAUCUCAGUUAAUUCUGAAGGUGUAUGCCUUAAUUAUGUAGAAUCGAAGUUAAUUCUGAAGGCAUAUGCCUUAUUUUCAUAACAUCUAAGUUAAUUGUGAAGGCAUAUGCGUUUAAUGCCAUAGAAUCUGAGUUAAUUCUGAAGGCAUAUGCCUGAAUUAUAUAGUAUCUAAGUUAAUUCUGAAGUUAUAUGCCUUAAUUCCAUGGAUUUAAACAUUAUUCUGAAGGCAUAUGCCUUAAUUAUGUAGGGUCUCAGUUAAUUCUGAUGGCAUUACCCUUAAUUCCAUGGGAUCUCAGUUAAUUCUCAAGGCAUAUGCCUUAAUUACGUAAGUUGUAAGUUAAUUCUGAAGGCAUUUCCCUAAAUUUAAUAGGAUCUCAGUUAAUUCUGAAGGCAUAGGCCUUAAUUAUGUAGAAACCAAGUUAAUUCUGAAGGCAUAAGCCUUAAUUCCAUAGCAUCUAAGUUAAUUGUGAAGGCAUAUGCCUUAAUUAGGUAGGGUCUGAGUUAAAUGUGAAGGCAUAUGGCUUAAUCCAUAGGAUGUUAUUUAAAUCUGAAGGCGUUUAAUUCCAUAGGAUCGGAGUUAAUUCUGAUGGCGUAUGCCUUAAUUAUAUAGGUUCUAUGGUUAUUCUGAAGGUAUAAACCACUAAUUGCAUAGGAUCUAAGUUAAUUCUGAAGGUAUAGGCCUUUAAUUCCAUAGGCUCUGAUUUAAUUCUGAAGUUAUAUGACUUUAAUUCCAUAUUAUCUAAGUUAAUUCUGAAUCUAUAUGGCUUUAAUUACAUAGGAUCUCAGUUAAUUCUGAAGGCUUCUGCCUUAGUUCCAUAGCAUCUAAGUUAAUUGUGAAGGCAUAUGCCUUAAUUAUGUAGAAUCCAAGUUAAUUCUGAAGGCAUAUGCCUUAAUUAUAUAGGACUUAAUUUAAUUCUGAAGGCAUAUUCCUUAAUUCCAUUGGAUCUAACUUAAUUCUGAAGGCAUAUGCUUUAAUUAUGCAGGGUCUAAGUUAAUUCUGAUGGCAUAUCCCUUAAUUCCAUGGGAUCUAAGUUAAUUCUCAAGGCAUAUGCCUUAAUUACGUAAGUUCUAUGUUAAUUCUGAAGAAUGUGCCUUAAUUCCAUAGCAUCUAAGUUAAUUGUCAAAGGUUGGGUCUAAGUUAAUUCUGAUGGCAUAUGCCUUAAUUCCAUAGCAUCUCAGUUAAUUCUGAAGGUGUAUGCCUUAAUUAUGUAGAAUCGAAGUUAAUUCUGAAGGCAUAUGCCUUAUUUUCAUAACAUCUAAGUUAAUUGUGAAGGCAUAUGCGUUUAAUGCCAUAGAAUCUGAGUUAAUUCUGAAGGCAUAUGCCUGAAUUAUAUAGUAUCUAAGUUAAUUCUGAAGUUAUAUGCCUUAAUUCCAUGGAUUUAAACAUUAUUCUGAAGGCAUAUGCCUUAAUUAUGUAGGGUCUCAGUUAAUUCUGAUGGCAUUACCCUUAAUUCCAUGGGAUCUCAGUUAAUUCUCAAGGCAUAUGCCUUAAUUACGUAAGUUGUAAGUUAAUUCUGAAGGCAUUUCCCUAAAUUUAAUAGGAUCUCAGUUAAUUCUGAAGGCAUAGGCCUUAAUUAUGUAGAAACCAAGUUAAUUCUGAAGGCAUAAGCCUUAAUUCCAUAGCAUCUAAGUUAAUUGUGAAGGCAUAUGCCUUAAUUAGGUAGGGUCUGAGUUAAUUCUGAUGGCAUAUGCCUUAAUUCCAUAGGUCUACGUUUAUUCUGAAGGCAUAUGCCUUAAUUCCAUGGCAUCUAAGUGAACUCUGAAGGCUAAUGCCUUAAGUCCAUAGAAUCUAAGUUAAUUCUGAAGGUAUAUGCCUUAAUUAUGUAAGGUUUAAGUUAAUUCUGAAGUCAUAUGCCUUCUUUUCAUAGCAUCUAAGUUAAAUGUGAAGGCAUAUGGCUUAAUCCAUAGGAUGUUAUUUAAAUCUGAAGGCGUUUAAUUCCAUAGGAUCGGAGUUAAUUCUGAUGGCGUAUGCCUUAAUUAUAUAGGUUCUAUGGUUAUUCUGAAGGUAUAAACCACUAAUUGCAUAGGAUCUAAGUUAAUUCUGAAGGCAUAUUCCUUAAUUUCAUGGAAUCUAAGUUAAUUCUGUAGGCAUAUGCCAUAAUUAUGUGGGAUAUAAGUUAAUUCUGAAGUUAUAUGCCUUAAUUUUGUGGGAUUAAACUGUAUUCUGAAGGUAUAGGCCUUUAUUAUAUAGGAUGUAAGUUAAUUCUGAUGGCAUAUGCCUUAAUUCCAUAGGUCUACGUUUAUUCUGAAGGCAUAUGCCUUAAUUCCAUGGCAUCUAAGUGAACUCUGAAGGCUAAUGCCUUAAGUCCAUAGAAUCUAAGUUAAUUCUGAAGGUAUAUGCCUUAAUUAUGUAAGGUUUAAGUUAAUUCUGAAGGUAUAUGCCUUAAUUAUGUAGGAUCUAAGUUAAUUCUGAAGUCAUAAGCCUCAAUUAUGCACGAUCUAAGUUAAUUCUGAAGUCAUAUGCCUUCUUUUCAUAGCAUCUAAGUUAAAUGUGAAGGCAUAUGGCUUAAUCCAUAGGAUGUUAUUUAAAUCUGAAGGCGUUUAAUUCCAUAGGAUCGGAGUUAAUUCUGAUGGCGUAUGCCUUAAUUAUAUAGGUUCUAUGGUUAUUCUGAAGGUAUAAACCACUAAUUGCAUAGGAUCUAAGUUAAUUCUGAAGGCAUAUGCCUUAAUUAUGUAGAAUCCAAGUUAAUUCUGAAGGCAUAUGCCUUAAUUAUAUAGGACUUAAUUUAAUUCUGAAGGCAUAUUCCUUAAUUCCAUUGGAUCUAACUUAAUUCUGAAGGCAUAUGCUUUAAUUAUGCAGGGUCUACGUUUAUUCUGAAGGCAUAUGCCUUAAUUCCAUGGCAUCUAAGUGAACUCUGAAGGCUAAUGCCUUAAGUCCAUAGAAUCUAAGUUAAUUCUGAAGGUAUAUGCCUUAAUUAUGUAAGGUUUAAGUUAAUUCUGAAGGUAUAUGCCUUAAUUAUGUAGGAUCUAAGUUAAUUCUGAAGGUAUAUGCCUUUAAUUCCAUAGGCUCUGAUUUAAUUCUGAAGUUAUAUGACUUUAAUUCCAUAUUAUCUAAGUUAAUUCUGAAUCUAUAUGGCUUUAAUUACAUAGGAUCUCAGUUAAUUCUGAAGGCUUAUGCCUUAGUUCCAUAGCAUCUAAGUUAAUUGUGAAGGCAUAUGCCUUAAUUAUGUAGAAUCCAAGUUAAUUCUGAAGGCAUAUGCCUUAAUUAUAUAGGACUUAAUUUAAUUCUGAAGGCAUAUUCCUUAAUUCCAUUGGAUCUAACUUAAUUCUGAAGGCAUAUGCUUUAAUUAUGCAGGGUCUAAAUUAAUUGUGAAGGCAUAUGCCUUUAAUUCUAUAGGAUCUGAGUAAAUUCUGAAUGCAUAUACCUUAAUUCCAUAGCAUCUCAGUUAAUUCUGAAGGUGUAUGCCUUAAUUAUGUAGAAUCGAAGUUAAUUCUGAAGGCAUAUGCCUUAUUUUCAUAACAUCUAAGUUAAUUGUGAAGGCAUAUGCGUUUAAUUCCAUAGGAUCUGAGUUAAUUCUGAAGGCAUAUGCCUGAAUUAUAUAGUAUCUAAGUUAAUUCUGAAGUUAUAUGCCUUAAUUCCAUGGAACUAAACUUUAUUCUGAAAGUAUAGGCCUUAAUUAUGUAGGGUCUAAGUUAAUUCUGAAGGCAUAUUCCUUAAUUCCAUUGGAUCUAACUUAAUUCUGAAGGGAUAUGCUUUAAUUAUGCAUGGUCUAAGUUAAUUCUGAUGGCAUAUGCCUUUAAAUCCUUAGGAUAUCAGUUAAUUCUGCAGGCAUAUGCCUCAAUUCCAUUGCAUCUAAGUUCAUUCUGAAGGUAUCCGCCUUAAUUAUAUAGGUUCUAUGUUAAUUCUGAAGUAUAUGCCUUAAUUGUAUAGCAUCUAAGUUAUUUGUGAAGGCAUAUACCUUAAUUAUUUAGGGUCUAAGUUAAUUCUGAUGGCAUAUUCCUUAAUUAUGUAGGGUUUAAGUUAAUUCUGAAGGUAUAUGCCUUAAUUCCAUGGGAUUAAACUUUAUUCUGAAGGCAUAUGCCUUAAUUACGUAAGUUGUAAGUUAAGUCUGAAGGCAUUUGCAUUAAUUUCAUAGGAUCUCAGUUAAUUCUGAUGGCAUAUGCCUUAAUUCCAUAGCAUCUCAGUUAAUUCUGAAGGCAUAUGCCUUCAAUUCUAUACUAUCUGAGUUAAUUCUGAAGGCAUAUACCUUAAUUCCAUAGCAUCUAAGUUAAUUCUGAAGGCAUAUGCCUUAAUUUUGUGGGCCUAAGUUAUUUCUGAAGGCAUAUUCCUUAAUUCCAUAGCAUCUAAGUUAAUUCUGAAGGCAUAUGCCUUAAUUAUGUAGGGUCUAAGUUAAUUCUGAUGGCAUAUGCCUUAAUUCCAUGGGAUCUCAGUUAAUUCUGAAGGUAUCUGCCUUAAUUAUGUAGAAUCUAAGCUAAUUCUGAAGGCAUAUGCCUUGAAUUCCAUAGAAUCUAAGGUAAUUCUGA